GACGAACGCUGGCGGCGUGCCUAACACAUGCAAGUCGAACGGGACCAGGGGCAACUCUGGUUCAGUGGCGGACGGGUNCGUAACACGUGAGGAACAUGACCUUGGCGGGGGAGUAGCCGGCCCAACGGCCGGGUAAUACCGCGUACGACCAUUCGGGGACAUCCCUGGAUGGUGAAAGCAGCAAUGCGCCGAUGGAGUGCCUCGCGGCCUAUCAGCUAGUUGGUGAGGUAACGGCNCACCAAGGCGACGACGGGUAGCUGGUCUGAGAGGAUGGCCAGCCACAUUGGGACUGAGACACGGCCCAGACUCCUACGGGAGGCAGCAGUGGGGAAUAUUGCGCAAUGGACGAAAGUCUGACGCAGCGACGCCGCGUGUGGGAUGACGGUC
rnacentral:rRNA from 1 species